rnacentral:tRNA from 4 species
GGUCCUAUAGUCUAGUGGUCAGGACGUUGGAUUUUGAUUUCCGUCUUCCAAAGUCGCCAGUUCGAACCUGGCUAGGACCU